CGUUGGGAAUGUCCGUCUUUUCCUCCGACAUUUCUUCAACCGAGGUAAACACCGCAGAGGAGGGAGGAGAAGCGGCCGAACCCGCGCAGAGGAGCGGCUGGAGGAGAAGACCUCGGACCGGGGGGGCGCAGCAAACACGGCAAAAGUGAAGAGAGAGAAGAUGUGUUGGACUCUGAUGGGAAGAGGCAUCAUGGAGUCCCAGAUGAAACUAGAAGAUGAUGGAGACCAGUGCAGGACAAGAACAAGGAGGCAGAGGGAGGACCUGCGGGGAGUAUGCGUGGGAUACACACACACAUCGCAUGCAUGAUGGUAGGUUUGCAGUGCAGUGGUCACUUUAUUGGUGUGUAGAGUCGCCCUUUCUGUUGCUUUCCUCACGGUGUAAACACAUGGUGGUUGUUGGGUUUGGCGGUAGAAUCUUCCUGCAGUGAGUACCCUGUCUAGUACCUUUUAAAAUUAAAAUUAUAACCAUCUGUUUCUGUUUUCAUUUAUUUCAUUUUUGCAAAUAAAUGUUAUUAUUCCUUGA